rnacentral:rRNA from 1 species
GGAUCCAGACUUUGAUUCUGGCUCAGGAUGAACGCUAGCGACAGGCCUAACACAUGCAAGUCGAGGGGUAACAGGGAAGCUUGCUUCCGCUGACGACCGGCGCACGGGUGCGUAACGCGUAUGAAACCUGCCUUAUACUGGGGGAUAGCCCGAAGAAAUUCGGAUUAAUACCCCAUAACACUACAAAAUCGCAUGAUUUAGUAGUUAAAACUCCGGUGGUAUAAGAUGGUCAUGCGUGACAUUAGCUAGUUGGUAAGGUAACGGCUUACCAAGGCGACGAUGUCUAGGGGUUCUGAGAGGAAGGUCCCCCACACUGGUACUGAGACACGGACCAGACUCCUACGGGAGGCAGCAGUGAGGAAUAUUGGUCAAUGGACGCAAGUCUGAACCAGCCAUGUCGCGUGCAGGAAGACUGCCCUAUGGGUUGUAAACUGCUUUUAUACGGGAAGAAAUAUAGUUACGUGUAAUUAUUUGCCGGUACCGUAUGAAUAAGCAUCGNCUAACUCCGUGCCAGCAGCCGCGG